GCUAAGCCAUUUUCACAUUUAAGAAGAGAGGACUUUGUGGUAGCUCUGCAUAUUGAAGAACUGCCUAUUGCUGAGCUCUUUAACCAUCUAAAGGAAAAGGAGGCAGAAUGUGGCAGAGGCAGCGAUGAGGAGGACAAAUUCAGGAAGGCAUUGCAUCCUUCCUAUAUGAUACAGUGAGAGUUGUCUUUCCUCUUUCUUUGCAACCAUCUUAUUUCUUCUAAUUUACACUGCAAUACCCAUCCAUGAAUCCUUCUGCUAACUUCAGUGACUGAAAAAAGAAAGGAACUUUGGUUCAAUCAUGUAAAACACAGAAACUCUGGCCACGAAUCACUAAGUGUUUAAGCACAUCUUCAGGCCUGUGCCCAAUACUUUGGAGAAUGGAGCUCAAUACACAUAUUCCUGCUCCCACACAAGUCUCUCAUAAAACACCUAUUCAUUUCCAUGAAUCAGACACAAGCUGAUAUCCCUGUGGUGGUAUGGUGGCAUAAUAUCUCCACUACUGAUAAUAGAAAUUGUGUCCAAAUCCCAUCAUGCUAAAAGAAAAUUGGAUUAAUAUUGGUAUCUGAGAAGGUAAGUAAUGCAUCCCAAGCAGUCAUAUCUCUGGCACAGUGAAACAUAUAUCUCUGAGAGACGGAUUUGCAUAAGAAGAUGGAGAGAUGACAAAAUGAAUAAAGAAAGAAGGCACAGAAGAAGAGGAAAAAGAAGUAGCAGGUAUGAACUGGACAACACCAUUGAUUUAUGAAUGAAAAUCUAAAAGUUUUUCUGUUUCAAGUGCAAAAACCAAGUAGCCCUUGGGCAGUUCUAUCUUUGCAGCUGGGAAGUCCAUGAUAUGUCACCCAAAAAAAUAUACAUCUUGAUGAUAUGUCACAUGCCUACAGGCGCCAAGUGGAUCAUUUUACUGUGAAAGACAUUUCAUUUAUUUAAUUGUAAAAUAACCCGCCCUUCCCCAUAUGCAUAAGGAGAGUCUGGGCUUAAAACAGGAUUCAAGCACAGUGUUUCAUUUCUGCAGCACAGAAGCCGAGACAUACGCUUAAUAUUAUUUGCAGAGAAAUCAAAAGCCACAGUCAGACCAAUAAGGAUGAAAAAACUUAAGUGUCUAGUUAACGACCCAUCACACAGGUUUUCUAUGAAGCCAGUUUAGAGACUAGAUAGGAAUCUCAGGAUGAGACCUUCUGAAAGUGCCUUUCUUUUACUUCUCUGAUAGGAUGGUUAACUAUGGGCUUCACCCUUGACCUUUACCUGGUAGAAGACUGGUGAGAUGUAUCCUACCAUAAGUACUUAAUUUUGUCUUCAAGUCUUCAGGUAUCCAAAUUGAAGACAGGGAGAAGAGAUUCCGGUCACUUAGUAUUCAGAACUUCCUAUAUCAGAUGUGGGUCAGCAAUCACAUCAGUAGAGCAGCAAAAUAGUCUUUUUGACCAGUGAAAGGAAAGUCUAGCUCCAUGCCACUGUGGGCAUUUCUUGCCAUAAGCUUUCCACAAUGAGGCACAAAUAUUGCUUGGAGACAAUCUGCUAAUUUUUGCCAGUUAGUACUGCAAUCUGCGAUCUGCAAGCUGGUUAAGGCAUCUGAUGCAUCUCUUUAAGGUGUUACUGUGUCAGUAUUAUUAGGAUUCUAGAGGUUAUCACACAAAAGACUAGUAUGGAACAGAAGGAAGCCACUGAUCAUCAAAAUUAACAUUAUAAUAUCCUUUCAAUACCUCCAGAUUAGCAGUUCACUCAACAUGACAUUUGCUUUUUGAAAGGCAUGUGCUCUGCAUGCACAACGUUUUAAUAUCUCAUUGUUUAAGGGAAGUUGACAAUGAUGGGUGAUGUAUAAACAGGCUGAAGAUAUUCUGAAGAGAGCUCUACCUGCAUGGACAAGAAAGUCCUUGCAAGUUGCAGGCAAAGGAAGCUCGGGGCCUCUACUGGAGAACUUAAAGUCUUUUGUAAUUAAUGCUGUAAUUGGAGGUUGCUGGACAUGCUCCUUGAGUUCCUGCCAGGGAAUGUGACGGCUUCAGAAAGCUGUUGACUCCAUGCUGUACACCAGCUGAAACAACCUCCUCGAGUGCAAUAGAUGACAUAGAGCUCCUGGGUUGGCAAAACUCUCAUCUGAGCAGCAAAAUGCAUGAAGCUUUUCCCUUCCAGUGUUAUCACAGUGACAUCAGUACCAUUCAGCCAUCUGACAGCUGCAUCACCCAGGGUGGCAAGGUUGAGCUGUCCUCCCUCUGCAUUUUAGUGCAGGCAGCCCAUCACCAUGCUCCUGCCAGCUGUCCCUAGAGCCACCCAGCAGGGUCUGGAACAGGCUAGGUCACCACCAUCAUGCUUGCUCUUGGCAGAGGUGACCAGGCUCAUUCCAGCCCCACUAUUUCAGAUUGAAAAUGGAUAAAUAUACGCCAGAGAAGUCAAAGCUUAGAAACAAGGCUGCUUCCUGUGAUCUUUGCCUUCACUUGGGAACAUAAUUAUUGGCUUCCGGUGCACCAGCACUAGUCAUGGGGAUGCCAGUCAUGUAAUAAUAUCAUAAAGGCAGAAAUGACCACCAGAAAGGGGUGGCAGGUAAUUUUAGCUAGAAACCGCAGGCUUAAACACAUUUCUUCUGGAGGUAAGCAGAUCUUUGCACAGAAAUUAUUUGCAACUCAUCUGCAGUGACUGCGACCAGUGUCAGCUGUUAAGUAAUAAGUUAUUUUUAUCCACUGCAGCUCUACAGCAUCUCUGAGGGUGAUGGCAUCUUGCCAAGGCUUUGGAAGUGCUGCAUGAGCUGACACACAAAGAUGAAUGGUGGAGGCAAGCCCGGAGGACAUUUCUGACUCAACUUUACAGAGGAAAUCAAAUCCAAAUAUACCAGGUGAUAUUUGGACCCCUACUGAAGUGAGUGGCAGUGCCAUGACCAAUUCUAUUCACCUUGCCCAGGAUGUGGCCAUGUAGUUGGAUGACCACUUCCUUAGAGAACUCCUGUAUCCUCUAGAGUUCUAGGGACAAGUAUAUUUAGAUCAAACCCUAUUAGUUUUGCUGACACAGUGCUUCCCUUGAAAUCAGUGGUUGGGGGUAUCUUUUAGCAGAAGAUGAACAGGAAGAUUUCAUGGGUUUGGUAUGCAUUAAAGUGCAUAUUGUACUG